CCUAUGUCUUAAAGAAACAGCCUUCAAAUGCCUUUCUACAGCUUUUUAGUAGCACAAGAUAAAUU
rfam:Callithrix jacchus chromosome 4, whole genome shotgun sequence